UAGCAUUCGCUUUCGUGUGCCAAAAAAAUCUUUUUCGUCAUCAUUUGCAAAUGGAAUUAAAUUAGUGAACAAAAAUUCGUUCAAGAAUCGGAUUGUUUUGGUUAGCUGGCUUGGGGUAAUAAUUAGUCUCGAUGGGAUAAAUUUUACGUGUUAGAAUUUGUGGGAAAGUAGCCGGUGAGGAACAGAUGGAGCAGCCUUUGCUGGAGCAGGAUAUUUCAUCCUAAUAUUCGACAUUCAACCGUUCACAAAAUUCGAUUGGGGAUAAUUGCGACGAGGACAAAGUGCUUGCCUGCUGGAGGCCCUAACCGUGAUAGAGCCUGACUCGGAAGCAGAGUAUCAGUUGACGGCGACGAUCUCGAGGUGGAAGAGGAGUUCUGCUACCUUGGUACGAUCAUAACUUCCGACAGCAACAUGAGCAGCGAAAUCCGAAGGCGCAUUGUUCAGGGAAAUUUUGCCUACUACGAGCUUCACAAACUCCUGCGAUCCAGGAGGCUCCAGCAACCCACGAAAUGCACGAUAUAGCGCACACUGAUACGUCCGGUAGUCCUCUACGGGUACGAAUUCUGGACUCUGCUAACGGAGGAUGCCACGGUGGACUAUCUCUAGUGGUGUAUCUGAGCAGAGCGUGUGGAGAAGGAGAGCUACCUAAGCAGAUAUUCUGACAGUGGUCAAAGCAGGAAGGAUACGAUGGCUGGGGCACGUGAUGAGGAUGCCUUACGUUCCUCCCAUGCCCCACGUUCGACACGAGAUGUAGAAGAGCACAGCGAGCUCGUUGGCUGGAUCAGGUGGAGUCAAACCUGUCGGACAUCGGAUGCAGCCGUGGAUGGAGGACUGCAGCACUGGACCGAGUUUCCUGGAAACGGAUUGGCGACCUCGCCAUGUCUACGCGACGUGCUCGGCCGUGAGCAGGCCAGAAAAGAAGAUUCUGUUACAUAUUCAAAGCAUUAUUGAGCGAAAAGAAGGGCGCAAAAAGUACAAAUGAAAUAUUUCAAUUCGGUUUUUUGGUUAUAACUUUAGUACUAAUGAUCGGACGGGUAAGUAAAACACAUGCAA